rnacentral:rRNA from 1 species
GUUCCGACCCGCACGAAAGGUGUAACGAUUUGGGCACUGUCUCAACCAGAGACUCGGUGAAAUUAUAGUACCUGUGAAGAUGCAGGUUACCCGCGACAGGACGGAAAGACCCCGUGGAGCUUUACUGUAGCCUGAUAUUGAAUUUUGGUACAGUUUGUACAGGAUAGGCGGGAGCCAUUGAAACCGGAGCGCUAGCUUCGGUGGAGGCGCUGGUGGGAUACCGCCCUGACUGUAUUGAAAUUCUAACCUACGGGUCUUAUCGACCCGGGAGACAGUGUCAGGUGGGCAGUUUGACUGGGGCGGUCGCCUCCUAAAGUGUAACGGAGGCGCCCAAAGGUUCCCUCAGAAUGGUUGGAAAUCAUUCGUAGAGUGCAAAGGCAUAAGGGAGCUUGACUGCGAGACCUACAAGUCGAGCAGGGACGAAAGUCGGGCUUAGUGAUCCGGUGGUUCCGCAUGGAAGGGCCAUCGCUCAACGGAUAAAAGCUACCCCGGGGAUAACAGGCUUAUCUCCCCCAAGAGUCCACAUCGACGGGGAGGUUUGGCACCUCGAUGUCGGCUCAUCGCAUCCUGGGGCUGUAGUCGGUCCCAAGGGUUGGGCUGUUCGCCCAUUAAAGCGGUACGCGAGCUGGGUUCAGAACGUCGUGAGACAGUUCGGUCCCUAUCCGUCGUGGGCGUAGGAAAUUUGAGAGGAGCUGUCCUUAGUACGAGAGGACCGGGAUGGACGCACCGCUGGUGUACCAGUUGUUCUGCCAAGGGCAUAGCUGGGUAGCUAUGUGCGGAAGGGAUAAGUGCUGAAAGCAUCUAAGCAUGAAGCCCCCCUCAAGAUGAGAUUUCCCAUAGCGUAAGCUAGUAAGAUCCCUGAAAGAUGAUCAGGUUGAUAGGUUCGAGGUGGAAGCAUGGUGACAUGUGGAGCUGACGAAUACUAAUAGAUC